rnacentral:rRNA from 1 species
AAACAUGGCUCUUUGAUGUUUGUCUAUAAAGAGUCGAGCCUGCCCAGUGAUAAAUUUAACGGCCGCAGUACCCUGACUGUGCGAAGGUAGCAUAAUAAUUUGCCCUAUAAUUGAGGGCUAGAAUGAAUGGUUUGACAAGAACAUAGCUGUCUCAUGUAAAUUAAUUAAAAAUUAAUAUGAAGGUGAAGAAGCCUUCAUUUAAUAAAAAGACGAGAAGACCCUAUUGAGCUUUAAAUUUAAUAUAAGAUGUACUUUAUCAAAUUUUUGGUUGGGGCGACCUAGGAAUAAUUACAUCUUCCUAAUAUUAAGAUAGACUUCAUGUAUUGAUCCAUUAAAAGUGAUUAAUAGAAUAAGCUACCUUAGGGAUAACAGCGUAAUUUUCUUUAAGAGCUCAAAUCGAAAAGAAAGUUUGCGACCUCGAUGUUGGACUAAAAUAUCCUGAUAAUGCAGCAGUUAUUAAGGGUUGGUCUGUUCGACCAUUAAAAUUUUACAUGAUCUGA